AUUGAACGCUGGCGGCAGGCUUAACACAUGCAAGUCGAGCGGAGUGAUGGUGCUUGCACUAUCACUUAGCGGCGGACGGGUGAGUAAUGCUUAGGAAUCUGCCUAUUAGUGGGGGACAACAUCUCGAAAGGGAUGCUAAUACCGCAUACGUCCUACGAGAGAAAGCAGGGGAUCACUUGUGACCUUGCGCUAAUAGAUGAGCCUAAGUCGGAUUAGCUAGUUGGUGGGGGAGAGGCCUACCAAGGCGACGAUCUGUAGCGGGUCUGAGAGGAUGAUCCGCCACACUGGGACUGAGACACGGCCCAGACUCCUACGGGAGGCAGCAGUGGGGAAUAUUGGACAAUGGGGGGAACCCUGAUCCAGCCAUGCCGCGUGUGUGAAGAAGGCCUUAUGGUUGUAAAGCACUUUAAGCGAGGAGGAGGCUCUUUUGGUUAAUACCCAAGAUGAGUGGACGUUACUCGCAGAAUAAGCACCGGCUAACUCUGUGCCAGCCGCCGCGGUAAAAC
rnacentral:rRNA from 1 species